ACGGAAGGCAGCAGUGGGGAAUAUUGCACAAUGGGGGAAACCCUGAUGCAGCGACGCCGCGUGGGUGAAGAAGUAUUUCGGUAUGUAAAGCCCUAUCAGCGGGGAAGAAGAUGACAGUACCCGACUAAGAAGCCCCGGCUAACUACGUGCCAGCAGCCGCGGUAAUACGUAGGGGGCAAGCGUUAUCCGGAUUUACUGGGUGUAAAGGGAGCGCAGGUGGCAUAGCAAGCCAGAAGUGAAAACCCGGGGCUCAACUCCGCGGAUUGCUUUUGGAACUGUUAAGCUGGAGUGCAGGAGGGGCAGGCGGAAUUCCUGGUGUAGCGGUGAAAUGCGUAGAUAUCAGGAGGAACACCGGUGGCGAAGGCGGCCUGCUGGACUGUAACUGACACUGAGGCUCGAAAGCGUGGGGAGCAAACAGGAUUAGAUACCCUGGUA
rnacentral:rRNA from 1 species